rnacentral:tRNA from 1 species
GGAUGUUUAGCUCAUCUGGUUAGAGUGUGGUGCUAAUAAUGCCAAGGUUAUGGGUUCAAUCCCCAUACUAAGCA